UACGGCCAUAACACAUUGAAACACCGGUUCCCGUAUGAUCAUUGAAGUUAAGCAGCCUCGAUCCUGGUCAGGACCUAGAUGGGUGACCGCUUGCGAAUACCAGGUAAUGUAA